AAGAGUUUGUGUAUCUUCGGGUACCUUCUCCCACCCAAUGUGAACUUUUUUCGUUGCCUCGGCAGGUCGAUGGUACCCAAUUGGUGUACCCAUCCUUCGGCUUCUGUUGAAGAGUACCUGCCGAUGGAUUUUAAAACUUGAUUUAACUUGUCCUCUGAGUAAAAACAAAUAAAAACA
rnacentral:misc_RNA from 1 species